CGGCGGAUAAGGUGAAAAAGAGAAUGGGUAGCUCCGUCAUCCUCUCCCAUGUUACGAGCCUCUCCAUCACUUCUCCUCGCUUCCUCUCUAAAAUGCAGGUCAAGUGGUCGACUGCACAACAACUACUUGAGAAGAUGGGACCGAAUACAUUGCAAUUCCCUGCCAAGUGGUUACUUUGAUAGUUAUCGAUGCUACUGCAAUGUUCCCGUUUCCCAAUUCGACUAAUCGGAUGCAGGUUCGACCUCUGUGAAGUUCGCUACGAGGAAAUCAUGUCCGAUUCAGCUUAUUUGGAUAGAGUUUUGGCAGAGGGAGCCACAAAAGCUGCCGUUAUAGCAGAUGCUACUCUCAAUAAUGGGAUUCUUGCAGAGAUGAUUAGAACAGAUUCUGCAGGAAGAAUUUUUGUGAAAUAAACCAUAUAGUUAGGGUUUAUCAUGUCCAGGGUGGUGAUUCUUAUCUAUAUGAGAGAUAGUGAUUGAAAGAAAGAAUCAUAAUCUGUCCAAGAAAAACACAUCCAUAUUCUGAUCCCACUCUUCCCACCAACAGCUUUUGUUUCUUUAACACAUGAGUGGAUGUGACCACAUUUGCAGAAAACUAGGGGAGUGACAGGACGAAAGAGAGAUCCUCCCUUGCAACUUUGUAUCAUCCCCUCACCUGUGUCUCUGGUGGUGGUAGAGGAAUAAAGGGAAUGUCUGUGUCUCAACAAUUCUUGCCCUUUCAAUCUUUUGCUCAGAAAUUAGACAGUUCCAGACAUGAAGGGCCAUUGUUUCCCCCACUUAUAGCUAAAGCUCUCAUUGCAAUCAUUAAUCUGAUUUAUUUUUUCUCUCUUUCUUUUGUUCAUUUCAUGAUUCUUCUCAUUAUUCUUGUGAUUUAUUCUCCACUCAUAAAAAUUCACCUAGCACUGUGAUGAGGAACAUAUAUGUUAGAAAAGGAAAAUUGCAUAUAGAACAUUAUGAUCCAUUAUUCUGGUGUCUGAAUUGGCCUUUUGUACACUAAACAUUUU